rnacentral:lncRNA from 1 species
CCACAUGGCAUCACCCGCAUCGCACUUCGGUCUGAACGGGACCCGGCCCUGAAGCUGACCGUGAACGGUAAAGAUGAGCCGCGUGGAUUGUCUGGGCUCGGACCAGCUCUUCCUCCGCCCUCUGCCCUCCGCCCUCCGCCCUCCGCCCUCCGCCAAACGGACGAGGAGAUCUCCACUGCUGUGUUGCCACUUCCCGUUUGAGACCUGAAUCUACUCCAGGCAACACGGAAGGUAACCCGACCCAACAGCCGGUGUUAAUCGGCCGAACCUGGCGACAGGCAGUUCUGACUGACCUACCGUCGGCCGUGACAUUGAGGGGUUACAGCUCCCUGCCCAAGCCGUGACCCGGAGGAAUCUCUAAGACACAGAGAAAAGCCGCUGGUUAUGAGCAUAGAGGGAAAGCACCUAUUUCCAGGUGAGCCGUUCCUGUCGGCCUCCAGUCGUGGGCUCAUCGACCUGAGCACGGGUCCGAGGCGGGACCCGAGGUCCGUGUGAAUUUUGCUCAGCUGUGUGAAUUUCCUGCUUUGAGACGCUUCCAAUGCAUCAAAAGGUGAUAUGUGUUAUGAGUUGAAUUAUGUCCCCCAAAUUCACACGUUGGAGUCCUAAGCCCCGCGCCUCAGAAUGUGACCUUCUUGGGGACGCCUGGGUGGCGCAGUCGGUUAAGCAUCCGACUUCAGCCAGGUCACGAUCUCGCGGUCCGUGAGUUCGAGCCCCGCGUCGGGCUCUGGGCUGAUGGCUCAGAGCCUGGAGCCUGUUUCCAAUUCUGUGUCUCCCUCUCUCUCUGCCCCUCCCCUGUUCAUGCUCUGUCUCUCUCUGUCCCAAAAAUAAAUAAACGUUGAAAAAAAAAAUUUUUUUUAAAUAAAAAAAAGAAUGUGACCUUCUUGAAAACUACGGUCUUUGCAGAUGCGAUCAAGUGAAGACGAGGUCAGCAGGGUGGCCCCACUCCCAUGUGACUGUGUUCUCGCAGAAGGCAGAAAUGCGGACACAGAGACAGACGCACGCGGAACGCCGUGUGACGGGGGAGCCAGAGAUGGGGUGACAAUCCCACGCGACAGGGAACACCAGAGAUGGCAGCAAAUCACCAAACACCGGAGAAAGGCCCGGACGCGAUUCUCCCUCCCACCAGCCCUGCCAGCAGCAAGGCGAUCUCAGCCCUCGGCCUCCGAAGCGGGAGAGCGUGCUGCCUUAGGACACCACGACGAUACCGGCACACCGUGCGGCAGGUGGCCACGAGCAAAGACCCAGGGCCCCGUGGGUAACACCGUCAAUAUCGUGGCCACGGACACAGCAGUCUUCGUGAGCCUGCUCGUGGAGAAGCACUUCCGUCCCACGGUCCCAGCACCAGAGCGCAGGCCGUCUUUCCGCCAAGAUCAGGGGUAGAGGCCCGGCCCCCCGCGCCUCGCACCGUCUCCCCAUACCUGACCACUAAGACAACCCCGAGAAAACGUCUGCGUCUGACCCAGUUCCGAGUUCUGACAAGGCCAAAGACACACGCACAUGACUCCAUUAGGUAAAGAGUCUGCUAACACCACAACUGACUAAUGGUUUCUUUGGGGCCAGGAAACUGUCUCCUGGGCAGAAAUAUAUUAUUCUAUAAUUUCCCUAAAAUAUUAAAAGUGGAGUUCUGCUUCGCGAGUCCAACCUGCAUUUAUUCGCACCCCCCCCCCC